AGAAAUGUUUUAGAAAAAAACGUGAGCGAGGAAAUACAUUUGAAAACGAUUUGAAGAAUUGAAGAAAGCAACGUUAUAUGACUAUAA